rnacentral:lncRNA from 1 species
ACCAUUUUGGGGUUUUAGUAUUUGUAAUACUCAAAUAAUCUCACAUCACAUGAAAAAAAUAUUUGAUUGGAAAAAUAAAAAAUUACACAUCCUAAUAAUAAUAAUUACGCUUAAGCAGUUUGGGUUGGUAGUUUGGAUCCAACGAGUUAUUAUUGCUAGUGGGUCGGAUCAUUAUAAUAUUAAUGAAAUGGACUGCUAGACAGAGAAGUUGUAAUAUUACAACUAAAAAUUAGAUAU